GACGAACGCUGGCGGCGUGCCUAAUACAUGCAAGUAGAACGCACAGUUUAUACCGUAGCUUGCUACACCAUAGACUGUGAGUUGCGAACGGGUGAGUAACGCGUAGGUAACCUGCCUGGUAGCGGGGGAUAACUAUUGGAAACGAUAGCUAGUACCGCAUAAUAUUGAUUAUUGCAUGAUAAUUGAUUGAAAGAUGCUAUUGCAUCACUACCAGGUGGACCUGCGUUGUAUUAGCUAGUAGGUGAGGUAACGGCUCACCUAGGCGACGAUACAUAGCCGACCUGAGAGGGUGAUCGGCCACACUGGGACUGAGACACGGCCCAGACUCCUACGGGAGGCAGCAGUAGGGAAUCUUCGGCAAUGGACGAAAGUCUGACCGAGCAACGCCGCGUGAGUGAAGAAGGUUUUCGGAUCGUAAAGCUCUGUUGUAAGAGAAGAACGGGUGUGAGAGUGGAAAGUUCACACUGUGACGGUAUCUUACCAGAAAGGGACGGCUAACUACGUG
rnacentral:rRNA from 1 species